rnacentral:tRNA from 2 species
GGAGUGAUAGUCUAAUGGUAAGGCACCUCCCCGCUAAGGAGGCAACGCUUCAUGGCGUUUGAGUGUUCGAGUCACUCUCACUCCGCCA